rnacentral:tRNA from 1 species
UGGAGUAUAGCCAAGUGGUAAGGCAUCCGUUUUUGAUACGGACAUUCAAAGGUUCGAAUCCUUUUACUCCAA